rnacentral:lncRNA from 1 species
UUUUUUUUUUUUUUAAAGAUUUAUUUAUUUAUUAUAUGUAAGUACACUGUAGCUGUCUUCAGACACUCCAGAAGAGGGCAUCAGAUCUCGUUACGGGUGGUUAUGAGCCACCAUGUGGUUGCUGGGAUUUGAACUCUGGACCUUCGGAAGAGCAGUCGGGUGCUCUUACCCACUGAGCCAUCUCACCAGCCCUAGUCUGUGGUUUUAAUUGCUCUUUUAGUAAGUACGUUUUUACUACUGAGGAAUAAAAAUGAUGAGUCCACAAACUAUUUAAACAAAAUACCUGUAUUUGGAGUUAUUCGUAAUUUUUUUGUUUGUUUUUGUUUUUUCGAGACAGGGUUUCUCUAUAGCGCUGGCUGUCUAUCCUUGAACUCACUCUGUAGACCAGGCUGGCCUCGAACUCAGAAGUCCGCUCGCCUCAGCCUCUCAAGUGCUGGAAUUAAAGGCAUGCGCCACCACUGCCUGGCUAAUUGCUUUUCUUUACACUUCAGUAUUGCCAUAUGAGUUAAACAUCUUGUUCAACUCCUGUAUCAUUUGAUAGCAGGGACUUAACCAAAAAAGAAUUGUAUGGCAGAAAGAAUUGUAAUCAGAAAGCUGUUGAAGGAUGAGUAUAAUAGUGCAUUCCUGUAAUCCCAGCACUUAGAAAGUUAAGGCAGGGGAGUUAAGUUUUUAAAGCCACCCUGGGCUAGAGAGUGAGACUUUGGGAUGUGUAAGGGAGGGGAGGUAGUUGUUGUUGAAAGAGCCUAGGUGAAAUGUUCUUUUUUUUAUUUAUUUUUUUGAGAUCCAAAUGCAUACCUUCACAACAGAGGGGUAUGGUAAAUUUGGAAGGGCCCCUGAUAUACUGACAAUGUUCGAUGAUGUUCAAUGAUGGUAGUGUCACUAGCACAUUUCUUCUAUGUCUCUUCACACAUGCGUAUGAAAAAAAUGAUAUAAUGAACCCUUUAAUGAAUGAAAUGAGACCUCUAGCUUAAAUAACUCAGUCAAUAAUGUGACAAGUUGCUUUUCAUCUAGUUUAUUUUUUGAUUAGUAGAAAAAGUCCUUAGUUUCUUGUGUAUUUCAGUAGCACAAUUUUAUUUCUUAUCUUUUAGUAGUGAAUUUUCAUGUUAAUGGGUCAUGAAAUCUAGAACUGCAAGGUUUAUUAGAGGUAGAAUUUGGGGAUGGAAAGUGGAGAGGUGUGUUUGAGACUCGAUGGCUUUGACCCCUGUAGCUAGCUCAGCAGGGUUUUCAAUCAGAUCUUGUAGCCCCUUAUACCAUGUUCUAGCUUGGUAGGGAUGUGCUAUUGCAAGCCUUUCUCCUUCAGAGUAGGAUCAUGGAGUUACAGCUGACUUUGAUUUCUGCAGUUUUCAGACCUUCCCUUCCCAAAUGCCUGUUUAAUUUCUGGGUUGUUCUCUGCCCCCACCCCCCAAUUUUCUGAGAUUCAAAGUCAUACAUUUGAAACAGUCGCUAAAGAUAGAUUUGAAAGGACCUUGAAACAGUGGAGAAAAGAUUUGAAAGGAGCCCAGGUAAUACUUACAACAUAAUUUCAUAUCCAGACAGAUUAUUACCUUCUGUUUAUUUCUAGUUAUUACUCCCCCCCUUCCCCCCCAGAGCUGAGGACUGAACCCAGGGCCUUGGGCUCUACCACUGAUCUAAAUCUCCAACCCCUAGUUAGUCCUUUGUAAAGUCUUGGAAGAUGAUAGUAUUGUGUCUUGCCCUGUUUCUUAUUUUAUUCUUUCACUUUAUUUUUGUUUGUUUGUUUGUUUUUCCCGAGACAGGGUUUCUCUGUGUAGCCCUGGCUGUCCUGGAACUCACUUUGUAGACCAGGCUGGCCUUGAAUUGAGAAAUCCACUUGCCUCUGCCCCCCGAGUACUGGGAUUAAAGGCGUGUACCACCACACCCGGCUAUGAAAUAUUUAACAUUGAGUUGUCUAUAGAGUUAAUGUAUUUGCGCGUCUUUAGCUGUUACUAUAAAACUAAUAUUGUAUACAAUGGAAGUUUUGUUAUGCUUUAAAUUUUAUUAUAAAAAUCAUGACUUUGACUAUUUUGGGAUUUGAAUUUUCCCAGUACUCAGUGCAAAAUAGUACAUAUUUUGGAAAAGGUUUUCAAUGUGUUUGAUUUUUAGAUACUUGAGUUGAGUAGCAUUAAAUUUGUCCCCCUAACUUUUUUUUUAGGUGGAAGAUAUCAACUAGAGAUAAAAAUACCAGAAACAUAUCCAUUUAACCCCCCUAAGGUAUUGUAAACCUUUUUUUUUUUAAUACAUGGAAUUUUUAAAUAUUUUGUAUCUUUUUGCUCACCUAAUAUGAAUAUAAUAUGAAUAUUAAUGCACUUAAAUAUUUACUAAUGUUACAACUUUCCAAGUUAAAUGUGCAUCUUUUUUUCAUUUUUCAUUUGUAUUUUAUUUAUUUACAUUUCAAAUGUUAUCCCCCUUCCAAAUUUUCCUUCCAUAAACCCUCUUCCCUCUCUCCCUGAAAUGUGAAUAAAUUUAAAGGACAGAAUUUCAGGCACUGUUCAAAGACUUGAUUCUGAAGUUAGAAUGAAAAGCAGAUUUACUAAAGUAACCAUUGAUGGCUAUAUAUUGGAGUACAAUUUGUAUCUCAUAAUGGCACAAAUAUUAGCUUCUGAAAAUUAGCUGUUUAGUCAGGUUUACAGAGAGGUUCUUACUUGCUUUAAAUAAAUACUUAUUUAAAUAUAUAUUUAUUUAGAAAUUAUUUGAGGGCCAGAAAUUCGCUAGCUCAUUGGUAGAGAACUUUUCUUGUAUGUGCCAGGACUCAGGUUUUAUUUGCAUUACUACUAGAGUGGG